GAAAAAGACUGAUUCAACGCGAUGACAACCAGGAGGUGGGCUUGGAAGCAGCCAUCCUUUGAAGAAAGCGUAAUAGCUCACUGGUCUAGCUCCAUGGCACCGAAAAUGUAUCAGGGCUCAA
rnacentral:ncRNA from 1 species